GGUAGGACAAAAGGAAGGGGCUGGAGAACUGACUACCCCAUGGUUAGGCUUUCAAUUGAUACCUCCUUUUCAGCCCUAAAUCUCACCCUCACUAUUUGGUGCUUGGAGCCCCAAGUCCAUGACCUCUUCUGUUCUUUUUCUCCUAAGAAUAACCCCUGUCUCUUGCCUAAGGAGUAGGUAUUUGACUGCUAGCAUUCUGAAGAUAGGUGGCUUUCCAUCCUAUGCCCUCAUUUUCCUCCUAUACCUCACCUUGCCCUCCUCCCUACCUGGUGCCUUCACGUUCUGAGCUACUUCAGAGCUCUGUGGGGGUGAUUGAUUCUUUUCUCAUAGGUAUCACUCCUAACUAGAACAUUCCUCCUCCUCAGUCCAAAAAUAGUCCCGACUCCUCCCACCUCCAAGCCUCCUCUUCUUCCACUGCAACAUCCACUCAGUCCCCAAGUUUCAUCCAUUCUCCCUCUCCAACACCUCUCACAUUUACCUGCUUUUGUCUUCUCUGCCUUCUCUUCACCUCCACAGCUCAGACCUCUGCUGCCUCUUGCCUGGAUCCCUCCAACAGCUUCCCUCUAACAGUCUUUUCCCCAUCUCGUGUCCUUCUCUCCUCCAAUCAGUUCUGCACCCUCUAGCCACAGAAAUCUGAUCAUCUCAUUCCCCUACUGGAAACCUUCAUUCAAGUGUAGACUCAGGAUGAAAUCUAAACUCAAGCAUGAGGACGGGCAUGGUGGCUCAUGCCUGUAAUCCCAGCAUUUUGGGAGGCCGAGGCGGGCAGAUCACUCGAGGUCAGGAGUUCAAAACCAGCCUGGCCAACACGGCGAAAACCCAUCUCUACCAAAAAUACAAAAUUAGCUGGGCAUGGUGGUGCACAUCUGUAAUCCCAGCUACUCGGGAGGCUGAGGCAGGAGAAUGUUGAAUCCAGGAGGCAGAGUUUGCAGUGAGUGAGCCAAGAUCAUGCCACCGCACUCCAGCUUUGGUGACAGAGCAAGACUCUGUCUCAAAACAAAAACAAAAACAAACAAAUAAACUCAAGCAUGCUAUACAAGGCCUCCAUAGUCAGACCUUCACUCCCUUCUUCAGCCUCACCCUCCCUGAGCUCCUUUUUACCAAACAUGUUCCAUCUCCAGCCAUGCUGAACUAUUUCUGUUCCUCCAUGAUGCCAUGCUCUCUCUCACCACCAGCUCUGUGCACACAUUGUUUUUUUCUUUUUCAUGAAGCCGUGCUCUCUCUCACCACCAGCUCUGUGCACACAUUGCUUUUUCUUUCUUUUUGCAAGAACUCCUACUUAUCUUGCAAGUCUCAACUUAGAUGUUCCUUCUUACAGAAAGAUUUUUUGGUCUCAAGACUAGUUUAUACUCCUAUCCUUCCCAGUGUAUAUCGCUAGGGUAGAAAUUCUCAUUCUGUUUUAGAAGAACCUUUUUGCUUGUCCUCACUAAGCUACAACUUCCUUUGGAGCAGGGACAAUAGGGACAAUAGUUUGAUUGCUGUUGUAUGCACGGUGCGUGGCACAUGGUACACACUAAGUAAAUACUUAUUGAACAAAUGAAUACAUGAAGAAAUGACUGGAGCCCCAUGUCAGGUGCAAAAGGUGAGGUUUGGAAGGGCCAAGUAAAUUACUCAAGGUCACCCAGCCGGAAUCUGAACUAAGAUCCCUCUGGCUUCACAGCCAAGGAGCCCCUGUCGGGUGAUGGGGCACCUCAUCUUUUGAGCUGCAUUUGCUUUGCUAGUCCCUGGCCUCUGGCUCAGAGAUGUUGACAUUGGCUCCCCUAGCUCAGUGGGCAUUAAAUUCCUAUGACGUUCAGGGGUAGUUUCUCUCUCCAGCUGGCCCCACUUGGGUCUGCCAAGGUCCCGCAGCUGCUUUCCAUCAGCCCAGUGCCUGUCACAAGAGACCCCAGCCCUGGAGGGAGCCAGGUGGGGUCACCCCCUUUCUCUACCAGGCUCCUUCGACCUGCCCCUCUUUCUCCUCUCCCUUCCUCAAUACCCCAUUGGAACAUGCAUUUUCUCUCCCUCUGGCACCCAGAGAGACACAGGCUAUGAGAGUUUUGAUGGGGGAUGCAGGGUGGAAAGUGUGAGGGAGGCAGCAUUUUGGUACCCUCGCUGAUUGCUCCCUUAAUGAGCUGUGGUGUGAGUUCCGUUUUGGCCAAAUUCACAGGAUGCUGCCCUCCUGGGGAGAAGUUGGGGCUGAAAGUUGAGAUUAUUUUGCAGCUUCUGAAGCAAACAUCCACUCAGAAAACAUGAUGUCACCAAGGAUGGUUGGAUUACCCUGCAGGGCGCUGGCAGCAAAGACUCCCUCCCAUCUCCAGCUCAGCCUCCCUCCAGAGAGGACACGUAGAACACUCAUUUCCAAACAGUAGGCAUGACGCUUCUGAAAUGAGGUGCCCAGUGUCUUCUGUGUGUGCGUGUGUGUGUGUGUGUGAUGGAAUCCUAGAAACUAGUCAUAUGAAACAACCCCCAUUGCAGACGCUCUGUGAAUGCUGUUAGUAACCAACUAACUGUCUACACAGCUGGAACCACAGCUAGUUCAGGAAACUUCCCUCUAGUCCAGCCCAACCCAGGGUCUUUCACACGGACCUGAAGGAAGAAAGAAAACAGAGGCUUAAUGAGGCAAAGGCAACAUGUCCAAGACCAC
rnacentral:lncRNA from 10 species